CAAACUUGUGUCGUAGUUCUCACGUCCUUUGCCUCAUCUAGUGCUAUAUAAACCCCGCUGUUUCGGCAGAGGUGACAACAGAUCUGACUGCAGUGUAAGUUGAUCACUUACUGUUGAAUAUACAGCCGGCACAAUGCUCACAGUCUGCCUUUUCAUAACCCUGCUCGGGGUUGUUCCAGCAAUUUGUGAACAACAACAUGUACCUGGAUUCCAGUACACGCAAGAUCCUGACAUCGAUGUCAACGACGAAGGACCCAUGUUCUCCCCGGCCAACUACAAGUUCACAGUGAUGGAAGACACUCCAGUGGGAUCAUUUAUUGG